rnacentral:rRNA from 1 species
GACGAACGCUGGCGGCGUGCUUAACACAUGCAAGUCGAACGAAGUGGCGAACGGGUGAGUAACGCGUAAUCAACCUGCCCUUCAGGGGGGGACAACAGUUGGAAACGACUGCUAAUACCGCAUACUGAAGGAGGGGAUUGCGUCUGAUGAGCUAGUUGGAGUGGUAACGGCCCACCAAGGCGAUGAUCAGUAGCCGGUCUUGAGGGAUUAACGGCCACAUUGGGACUGGGACACGGGCCAGACUCCUACGGGAGGCAGCAGUGGGGAAUCUUCCGCAAUGGAGUAAAGUCUGACGGAGCAACGCCGCGUGAGUGAUGACGGCCUUCGGGUUGUAAAGCUCUGUUAAUCGGGACGCGGUACCGGAAUAGAAAGCCACGGCUAACUACGUGCCAGCAGCCGCGGUAAUAC